rnacentral:rRNA from 1 species
GUAGGUGAACCUGCGGAAGGAUCAUUAUUGAAAUAAACCUGAUGGGUUGUUGCUGGUUCUCUCGGGAGCAUGUGCACGCCUUGUCAUCUUUAUAUCUCCACCUGUGCACCUUUUGUAGACCUUACAAGGUCUAUGUUGCUUCAUUUACCCCAAUGUAUGUUGAUAGAAUGUCGUCCUAUAAAAUAUAUACAACUUUCAGCAACGGAUCUCUUGGCUCUCGCAUCGAUGAAGAACGCAGCGAAAUGCGAUAAGUAAUGUGAAUUGCAGAAUUCAGUGAAUCAUCGAAUCUUUGAACGCACCUUGCGCUCCUUGGUAUUCCGAGGAGCAUGCCUGUUUGAGUGUCAUUAAUAUAUAUCAACCCUUCUCUUGUUGAAUGGUUUGGAUGUGGGGGGUUUGCUGGUCUCUUAUAUAGGGUUCAGCUCCCCUGAAAUGCAUUAGCAGAAUAACCUGUUCAUUGGUGUGAUAACUAUCUACGCUUUUGAAUGUAA